rnacentral:lncRNA from 1 species
UUUUAGUUUCCACUAUGCAUGUUCGAACUGACGGACUUUAUAACCGAUCAACUUCCGGUAAGCUCAGCCCCGCCAAAGCAGAUGACAAAUGUUUUGAAACGAACUGUACAUAAACUGGGGAUUGCUUAUACUAACAAAUCCAGAUAUUUCCUUCAAUUUAUAAGUAGUUGCUUGGCUAAUGAUUUAAGAACAGUGUUGCCAAGUGGACCAGAUCUGCAUUUCUACCCCUCUUUUGGGGAAGAAAUGCAGAAAGAACUCUGUGCUCUCAGUCAAGGUUAUACUCUGAAGUAUUGACUUCUCUUUGGCUUGCCAUUGUCAAGGAGGCCUACACAAACUCCAAGAUAGUGGUCAAUGAAGUUGAUUUUCUACAAGGGAAGAUCCUGGGCAGAAUAGAUGGAACUCCUUGG